GACGUAGGUGGCGAGCGUUGUCCGGAAUUACUGGGCGUAAAGGGCGUGUAGGCGGCCAUUUAAGUCAGGCGUGAAAUCCCCGGGCUUAACCCUGGGACUGCGUUUGAAACUGGGUGGCUUGAGGACAGGAGAGGAAAGCGGAAUUCCCAGUGUAGCGGUGAAAUGCGUAGAUAUUGGGAGGAACACCAGUGGCGAAGGCGGCUUUCUGGACUGUCCCUGACGCUGAGGCGCGAAAGCCAGGGGAGCAAACGGG
rnacentral:rRNA from 1 species